GGACCAGUCAUAGUCAGUACAUUCAUCUCCAGAUAGCUUGGUGGCCCAGUCAUAGUCAGUACAUUCAUCUCCAGAUAGCUAGGUGGACCAGUCAUAGUCAGUACAUUCAUCUCCAGAUAGCUAGGUGGACCAGUCAUAGUCAGUAAAUUCACCUCCAGAUAGCUAGGUGGACCAGUCAUAGUCAGUACAUUAAUCUCCAGAUGGCUAGGUGGACCAGUCAUAGUCAGUACAUUCAUCUCUCUAGAGAGAGAAGUACAGGAAGAGAGAGACCCUUAUUUAAUAAGGGGUCACUGACUAAACUUAGAGAGGGACAGGUACUAUUAUAGAGGGGUCACAGAGAAAUCCAGGAGGAAUAGUGUUUAACAGAGGUUCUCCCACUGUUCUCAAACAGACCAUGCAGUCAUCAACUGAAAUAUUUCAUUCACAGGUUCAUUUCCCAGUAAAGACACCUUUGUAGCAUUAGCACAUUGCAGCUUCAGCCUUAGUGAACACUAACAACUAAAGUAUAGUUCUAAAAUGACAUUUGUUUCCUGGUCAAUGGUAAUACGGGAGUCCGUAUUGGUACAGCGUUGAAUAUGUCUGUAACCAUUAAGCUAAUGUAAGGCUGUGGGUUGUAGGUCUGACACAAUGUGCAUUAAACUGUAAACUUUAAUGAUGAGACUCUGUGUAAUUCAUAA
rnacentral:lncRNA from 1 species